rnacentral:rRNA from 1 species
UACGUAGGGUGCGAGCGUUGUCCGGAAUUAUUGGGCGUAAAGAGCUCGUAGGCGGUCUGUCGCGUCGAAUGUGAAAACCCGGGGCUCAACUCCGGGCUUGCAUUCGAUACGGGCAGGCUAGAGUUCGGUAGGGGAGUCUGGAAUUCCUGGUGUAGCGGUGAAAUGCGCAGAUAUCAGGAGGAACACCGGUGGCGAAGGCGGGGCUCUGGGCCGAUACUGACGCUGAGGAGCGAAAGCGUGGGGAGCAAACAGG